AGUGAACGCUGGCGGUAGGCCUAACACAUGCAAGUCGAACGGCAGCACAGUAAGAGCUUGCUCUUACGGGUGGCGAGUGGCGGACGGGUGAGGAAUACAUCGGAAUCUACUUUUUCGUGGGGGAUAACGUAGGGAAACUUACGCUAAUACCGCAUACGACCUACGGGUGAAAGCAGGGGAUCUUCGGACCUUGCGCGAUUGAAUGAGCCGAUGUCGGAUUAGCUAGUUGGCGGGGUAAAGGCCCACCAAGGCGACGAUCCGUAGCUGGUCGGAGAGGAUGAUCAGCCACACUGGAACUGAGACACGGUCCAGACUCCUACGGGAGGCAGCAGUGGGGAAUAUUGGACAAUGGGCGCAAGCCUGAUCCAGCUAUACCGCGUGGGUGAAGAAGGCCUUCGGGUUGUAAAGCCCUUUUGUUGGGAAAGAAAAGCAGCAGGUUAAUACCCCGCUGUUCUGACGGUACCCAAAGAAUAAGCACCGGCUAACUUCGUG
rnacentral:rRNA from 1 species